GACGAACGCUGGCGGCGUGCUUAACACAUGCAAGUCGAACGAUGAAGCUGGAGCUUGCUCCGGUGGAUUAGUGGCGAACGGGUGAGUAACACGUGAGCAAUCUGCCCUUGACUCUGGGAUAACUGCGGGAAACUGUAGCUAAUACCGGAUACGACACCUUGGGGCAUCCCAGGGUGUGGAAAGAAUUUCGGUCAAGGAUGAGCUCGCGGCCUAUCAGCUAGUUGGUGGGGUAAAGGCUCACCAAGGCGAUGACGGGUAGCUGGUCUGAGAGGAUGAUCAGCCUCGAUGGGACUGAGACACGGCCCAUACUCCUACGGGAGGCAGCAGUUGGGGAUUUUGCACAAUGGAGGAAACUCUGAUGCAGCGACACUGCGUGAAGGAUGAAGGUUUUCGGAUCGUAAACUUCUUUUAGUGGGGAGUAAUCUUGAAAGUACCCACUGAAUAAGGACCGGCUAACUACGUGCCAGCAGCCGCGGUAA
rnacentral:rRNA from 1 species